rnacentral:rRNA from 1 species
AACGAACGCUGGCGGCGUGUCUUAAGCAUGCAAGUCGUGCGGCAAGGGUAGCAAUACCCCUAGAGCGGCGGACUGGUGAGUAACGCGUGGGUGAUCUACCUUUGGGAUGGGGAUAGCCACUAGAAAUAGUGGGUAAUACCGAAUACGUUCGUCGGGCCUUGGCCUGACGAGGAAAGGCGCUUCGGCGCCACCCGAAGAUGAGCCCGCGUCCCAUUAGCUAGUUGGUGAGGUAAAGGCCCACCAAGGCGAUGAUGGGUAGGCGGCCUGAGAGGGUGUACGCCCACAUUGGGACUGAGAUACGGCCCAAACUCCUACGGGAGGCAGCAGCUAAGAAUAUUCCGCAAUGGACGAAAGUCUGACGGAGCGACGCCGCGUGGAUGAUGAAGGCCGAAAGGUUGUAAAGUCCUUUUGUUGGGGAAGAAUAACCAUGGGAGGUAAUGCCCGUGGGAUGACAUGAACCGACGAAUAAGCCCCGGCUAACUACGUG